ensembl:snoRNA LOC120100401 small nucleolar RNA SNORA48
CACCCCCAGCAAUGUGCAAAGAGACACCCUGGUGGUGGUGGUGCUCUUAUAUAAGAUGGGGCAGAACAGAUGGUAGUCCUUUGUUCAUCCUAGCUUGAUGCCUGGCUUGGUGGCCAAAGCUGUUCUAUGCCUAGGACUUAUAA